UUACGCUACUGUUCAUCAUGCCACCUUCGUCUUCCUCGCACGGUGACGCAAGUUCCUUUCACUUUCCAUAUCUGAGAUUCAAAUCUCUUCACCGACUGCGAGUACUGAGCAUCCGACGAUUAUCGUUAGAAGAUCAGAUCAUGUCAGAGGGUGUUUUCCCUGAUCACGAUUUUCAUAUCCGCAAUCUUCAGUCGAUCUCAGAUCAGAGGGUGUUUCCCUGAUCUGAGCUUCCAUUGGACAACAGAGGUGCCAGCGAUGUUUUCUCGGCAUUUCUGGGACUUCAAAAGACAAAUUGUUUGAGUUAGAUCCAGAGAUUGAAAGAACUUUCAAGGCUUUGAGAAUUCAAGAGAAAUCAUCAAAAGUCACUGAGAGUACUUCUUCACAUUUAGACACUUCCAUGGAAGAGCAUAAUAGGACUAUGAAGGAGCUUGCAGUUCCUGAUGAGGCAUUCAAAUAUUCAUGUAUUACUUAUCCAGCUUUGGCAGGAGUUUUUAUGUUGAGGGAUAGCAAAGGAUUGGUUGUAUUAUCUUCCUCCUGGAUACAUUACUUCUUGGAUUGAUAUGAAGAAGGCUUUCUUGGAGAAAUUCUUUCCAACUUCAAGAACUACAACUAUCAAGAAGAAUCUGUGGAAUUCAACAAGUAGUAGGAGAGACACUUUAUGAUUAUUGGGAGAGGUUUAAGAAGCUAUGUUCAAGUUGUCCUCAGCACCAUAUUAGUAAGCAGUUACUUGUCCAGUAUUUCUAUGAGGGUUUGUAACCUAUGGACAGGAGUAUGAUAGAUGCAACAGCUAGAGGAGAUUUAGUGAACAAGAUUCCAGAAUAAGCUAACGAGCUUAUUUCUAAUAUGGCAGAGAAUUCACAGCAAUUUGGUAGUAGGGCAUUAACUACAAGAGGAGUUGGAGAGGUUCAAAUGGUUUCUAAUGAGCAAAAAGAGAUAAGGAGUUCAUUGUUGGAGUUAACUGCUUUGGUGAAGCAAUUGACAUUGAACAAUGCUAGUCAAACUUCUUCAUUUUUGAGUAUAUAAUUUCCAUAUCAAUCAAGAAGAGUUUGUGGUAUUUGUUCGAGCCAAGAUCACAAUUCAGAAUUUUGUCCCAAUCUUCAUCAAGAUGAGUCAUUAGCAACAUUUUCAAGAGCUCAAUUCCAAUAAAAAUAUGACCCUCAUUCUUCUACAUACAAUUAGGGUUGGAGAGAUCAUCCAAAUUUAAAAUAUGAUAAUUCAUUCUAUCAACAACUACCUUCAAAUCAGAAUUUCCAGUAACCUUUUCAACCCGCUCAGAAUUCAUUUCAGCAUAAUCAGCAUGCAUUCCAGCAGCAGCAGCCAUAUCAGCGUAACUUUUAGUAUAACCAACAAAAUCAGCAUCCAUUUCAACACAAUUAGCAACAAUAGAAUUUUCAACAGAGCUUUCAGUAAGGGAAGAAUCAAAAUCAACAAGCACUUUCAGCUCCAUCAAGACUUAGUUUGACUCAAGGAAUCUCCAACAUUUCAAAUUCAGAUGCACAUCAAGCUUGAAUGGAGGAAAUGAUGCAACAGUUAUUGCAGCAACAACACCAACAAAGAAUCGAUUCUGCCUUGCAAAAUAUUGAGAGGCAGAUUGGACAAUUAGCUUCCAACAUUAAUCAGAUGUAAGCUCAAGGAUCAAGUCAAUUGUCUUCUCAAUCAACACCUAAUCCUAAGGGUAGUGUUAGUGUAUUAACUUUGAGAAGUGGAAGGCAAAUUUUAGAGGUUCCUUUUCCAUAUUCCAGCAGCCCUCGAACAGUGUCAAACAACCAUAAUUUGGAAUUUCCAGCAGCUGAUUUCUAUCCAAUCUCAAGCUCAAACCCCAUUCAUGUUGAUCCCAUGAUUUUAAUUCAAGAACAAGAGAAGAGUUGGAUGCAUCCAAAAAUUCCAACAGCUCCAUUUUAGCUAAAUCAAUUCCAAUUCCGACAGCAAUUCCAGAAUCCAGGAAUUCAAAAUUUCUAUAAAAGAAAAAUUCAGAUCAUAAAGGAGCAGAGCCCAGUAUUCCCUUACCCUUUCCUCAACAUAAGGUUCAUGCUAGGAAAAGUGUAGAGGAGGAAAUGGCUAGAGAGUACCAAGAGCUUGUGAAUCUUUUUAGCAAGGUGGAAGUCAAUGUUCCCUUGCUUACUAUGAUCAAACAAAUUCCUAAGUAUGCAAAAUUUCUCAAGGACCUGUGUAUGCACAAGAAGAAGUUGAAGAGGAAUGAGUUGAUUAGUAUGGGAAAGAAUGUAUCAGCACUUAUUCAACCAGUUCCUCAGAAGUGUGAAGAUCUUGGAGUGUUCACUGUACCUUGUGAGAUUGGGAGCAAUUUAUUUGAGGAUGCUAUGAUAGACUUAGGAGAUUCAAUUAAUGUCAAGCUAAGAUCAAUUUUUCAAACGUUAGAAAUUGGACCAUUACAGUCUACAAGAGUUGUAAUUCAGUUAACUGACAGCAAUCAGACUCAUCCAGCUGGAGUUAUUGAAGAUGUGUUAGUUAAGGUGAGAGAACUUAUCUUUCCUAUAGAUUUUUAUAUCCUAGAUAUGGAGGGAGACUAUCUGGCCAAUAGAUCUCCAGUUAUUCUUGGAAGACCAUUCCUGAAGACUACAAGGACAAAGAUUGACGUUCAUGCGGGCACACUUUCUAUGGAGAUAGGAGACACAGUGGU